UACGAAGGGGGCUAGCGUUGCUCGGAAUCACUGGGCGUAAAGCGCACGUAGGCGGAUUGCUAAGUCAGGGGUGAAAUCCUGGAGCUCAACUCCAGAACUGCCUUUGAUACUGGCGACCUUGAGUCCGGGAGAGGUGAGUGGAACUGCGAGUGUAGAGGUGAAAUUCGUAGAUAUUCGCAAGAACACCAGUGGCGAAGGCGGCUCACUGGCCCGGUACUGACGCUGAGGUGCGGAAGCGUGGGGAGCAAACAGG
rnacentral:rRNA from 1 species